GAUGAACGCUAGCUACAGGCUUAACACAUGCAAGUCGAGGGGAAACGGCAUUGAGUGCUUGCACUCUUUGGACGUCGACCGGCGCACGGGUGAGUAACGCGUAUCCAACCUUCCCAUUACUGUGGGAUAACCUGCCGAAAGGCAGACUAAUACCGCAUAGUCUUCGAUGACGGCAUCAGAUUUGAAGUAAAGAUUUAUCGGUAAUGGAUGGGGAUGCGUCUGAUUAGCUUGUUGGCGGGGUAACGGCCCACCAAGGCUACGAUCAGUAGGGGUUCUGAGAGGAAGGUCCCCCACAUUGGAACUGAGACACGGUCCAAACUCCUACGGGAGGCAGCAGUGAGGAAUAUUGGUCAAUGGACGGAAGUCUGAACCAGCCAAGUAGCGUGCAGGAUGACGGCCCUAUGGGUUGUAAACUGCUUUUGUAUGGGGAUAAAGUUAGGGACGUGUCCCUAUUUGCAGGUACCAUACGAAUAAGGACCGGCUAAUUCCGUGCCAGCAGCCGCGGUGAUACGGAAGGUCCAGGCGUUAUCCGGAUUUAUUGGGUUUAAAGGGAGCGUAGGCUGGAGAUUAAGUGUGUUGUGAAAUGUAGACGCUCAACGUCUGAAUUGCAGCGCAUACUGGUUUCCUUGAGUACGCACAACGUUGGCGGAAUUCGUCGUGUAGCGGUGAAAUGCUUAGAUAUGACGAAGAACUCCGAUUGCGAAGGCAGCUGACGGGAGCGCAACUGACGCUUAAGCUCGAAGGUGCGGGUAUCAAACAGG
rnacentral:rRNA from 1 species